GCUAAAACAAUAAGGCUCUUGGUGGAGAACAGGUAUGGAGGUAUGCUAAAACAAUAAGGCUCUGGGUGGAGAACAGGUAUGGAGGUAUGCUAAAACAAUAAGGCUCUUGGUGGAGAACAGGUAUGGAGGUAUGCUAAAACAAUAAGGCUCUUGGUGGAGAACAGGUAUGGAGGUAUGCUAAAACAAUAAGGCUCUUGGUGGAGAACAGGUAUGGAGGUAUGCUAAAACAAUAAGGCUCUUGGUGGAGAACAGGUAUGGAGGUAUGCUAAAACAAUAAGGCUCUUGGUGGAGAACAGGUAUGGAGGUAUGCUAAAACAAUAAGGCUCUUGGUGGAGAACAGGUAUGGAGGUAUGCUAAAACAAUAAGGCUCUUGGUGGAGAACAGGUAUGGAGGUAUGCUAAAACAAUAAGGCUCUUGGUGGAGAACAGGUAUGGAGGUAUGCUAAAACAAUAAGGCUCUUGGUGGAGAACAGGUAUGGAGGUAUGCUAAAACAAUAAGGCUCUUGGUGGAGAACAGGU